rnacentral:rRNA from 1 species
CCUGCCCUGUACAGGGGGACAACAGUUAGAAAUGACUGCUAAUACCGCAUAAGCGCACAGGACCGCAUGGUCCGGUGUGAAAAACUCCGGUGGUACAGGAUGGACCCGCGUCUGAUUAGGUAGUUGGCGGGGUAACGGCCCACCAAGCCGACGAUCAGUAGCCGACCUGAGAGGGUGACCGGCCACAUUGGGACUGAGACACGGCCCAAACUCCUACGGGAGGCAGCAGUGGGGAAUAUUGCACAAUGGGGGGAACCCUGAUGCAGCGACGCCGCGUGAGUGAAGAAGUAUUUCGGUAUGUAAAGCUCUAUCAGCAGGGAAGAAAAUGACGGUACCUGACUAAGAAGCCCCGGCUAACUACGUGCCAGCAGCCGCGGUAAUACGUAGGGGGCAAGCGUUAUCCGGAUUUACUGGGUGUAAAGGGAGCGUAGACGGCAGAGCAAGUCUGAAGUGAAAGCCCGCGGCCCAACUGCGGGACUGCUUUGGAAACUGCCCGGCUAGAGUGCUGAGAGGUAAGCGGAAUUCCUAGUGUAGCGGUGAAAUGCGUAGAUAUUAGGAGGAACACCAGUGGCGAAGGCGCUUACUGGACAGUAACUGACGUUGA